GACGAACGCUGGCGGCGUGCUUAACACAUGCAAGUCGAACGAAGUGGCGAACGGGUGAGUAACGCGUAAUCAACCUGCCCUUCAGAGGGGGACAACAGUUGGAAACGACUGCUAAUACCGCAUACUGAAGGAGGGGUUUGCGUCUGAUUAGCUAGUUGGAUGGGUAACGGCCCACCAAGGCGAAGAUCAGUAGCCGGUGUGGGAGGAAGAACGGCCAAAUUGGGACUGGGGCACGGCCCAGACUCCUACCGGAGGCAGCAGGGGGGAAUCUUCCGCAAUGGACGAAAGUCUGACGGAGCAACGCCGCGUGAGUGGUGACGGCCUUCGGGUUGGAAAGCUCUGUUAAUCGGGACGCGGUACCGGAAUAGAAAGCCACGGCUAACUACGUGCCAGCAGCCGCGGUAAUUC
rnacentral:rRNA from 1 species